AAUAUAGUGCCUGACAAAAAGGGCAGCUUUGAUAGAGCUGAUCAUGUAUCUACCGUACCUAUAUUA
rnacentral:tRNA from 1 species